AACAUCUGGAAGGCAAUCGUUUAUAUGACGGCCCUAUUCACCCGGAAACAAUGUGAAAGGAAUUGUGACGUCUCUGGUGACGUCAAAAGAUUUAUAGCAUCUUGAUGACAAAGGAAAUGGUACAUUUCAACAGUGAUGAAGGAAACCUCGCACCUCAAGCCAUAAUAAAUAUGAGGAUAUACCCACUUUACGAUAUAUAUAUAACAACUAUCCAAAAGGGAGACGUCUCUUGCCUCCGGAACACGAUGCACUAGAACGCGACACUCAAUCAAAUUUUCGGACAAAGAUCAUUUGUUUUCGACGCGUGAAAAUGGGACGGAAUAUAAAUGAAGACA